CCUGGGCCUGCCAGAUCUCCUGGGGGUUGCGGGUGGGGGCUUGGUCUGUUCACCCAAUUGUCAAGGUGGGGCCCCAAAACAUUUAUUCAUUCAGCAAAUACUGACGGGUACUCACUUUGUGCAGGGAAAUCUUCCAGUCUUGGGGACACAGCAGUAACCAAGAUGAUCAAAUUCUCAAGGCUAUGAGACUUCCAUUCUGAUUGGGGCAGAGGCAGUAGAUAUACAAUGAUGCAAGUAAACAAACAACACGGUCUCAGUCUGUGAUAUGUGCCAGAAAGAAGACGAAAUGAGGACGGAAUGGCCCAACAUCUACUCAUUCUUCAAGGACAGCUCAGAUCUCCCCACUCCGUGAGACCUUCCCCGGCUCUGCUACAAGCAAACAGCCUCCUACCGGCUCCCAGGACUACGGGGCCUCCCCACACCGUGUGCACAGGUGGCCUCCACUCAGAUCUUGCUCCCUCCACAUUGACUGGUGAUGGCAGACGGCUCCGACUGUGGGCUCUCUGGCAUACCUCUCUGCACCCUGGACGCUACCAUACACUCCAGCGGAACGAUGAUCUUGUCAGGCUUGGUUCGCUGUGCACACCGAGCCCCUCACUCAGUGCCUGGCAUACAGUAGGAGCUUACUAAACAGCUGUCAGCCGCUGAAACCCAAGAUCAGGUCCACAUCUGUCUCGGUCCCUCCAGGACCUUGAGCCCAGUCCAGAGCCUGGUCCAGAGAAGGUGCUCAGUAAACAUCUGGAGACUGAAAGCCAAGUCACCCUGUGGAGAGCAGCGGUUUUUUCUGAGUGGACUUCAGUGGCCUUGGCUGACUCCCUUGUGGGUGUCUGCAGACCCGGCCCUCAGAGCCUCUGCGUGUUGAAGGCACACAGCACCUGCAGGGAAACAGGCCCUUGCCUCUGUCGGCUCCUCCUGCUACUGAGAGACCAGCUCAGAGGCCAGGACAGCAGCUCAGAAGGGGAGGAAAGGAACGGAGACCUGUGGGCUGGUCCUCAGUGAGGCCUGGCCCAGGAGGGAGACCCUCCCCAGCAGAUCAUGAGAGCUGUGCACCUUGCCAGGAUGGUGGCGCUCAGCAAACGCCUACCUGAGGUCAUCUGCAGAGCCCCCUCUCAGGGCAGCGAGGCAGCCUGCCAGGAUUCCCCUGCAUCAGGAGCUCUGUUUUAAAACAUCUGUUGAUCCACGUAAGAAUGAUACAGGGAAGAGGCUCUCCGAGCGCACCGAUGCUUCAAAAGGCCUCAAAAAUUAGAAUUGCUGUCACGGCCUCUGCACUUCCCAGUCCAGGCCUUUUGUUUGGGUCUCCCUAUGUGGCCACCAGGGGGGCUAAUGCCCUCCAGCCACAUGCUCAGCUUUGCUGGCCAGACAAUGGCCUCUGAAUAGGCCCAUCCAGAGUGCCCUUUUGAGUGAUAGAACCCAGUGCAACAGCGGAGACUCUAGGAAACUAAGCCUGCGGGCUCCAGGGCCUGGGGCAGGCGUUGCUCAUUGACCAGGUUUGGGUGGUGUGGGGCACACAAAGUCAGGGGGGGACACACAGCCAGGGUCCCUCCACCUUCCUUGUUAAAUAUGGAGCCACAGGCCUUGCCUAAUUAGCCGGCCCUGUUGGUACAAGGAGGAGGGGAAGCAACAGGGAAGAUAGAACAUGACCUCCAAGCCCGUGGUCAGUCCCUGGCUCCGAGGCCUUGUCCCACCUCUUGUCCAGAUUUGACACUUCCAAAGGGCUGGACAUGCAGUCCUGGACCCAUGCCAGCCUCCGAAGCUGCCUCCUUCUUGAAGAUGGUGAACCCAGCCCAAAGGUCCACCCAGCUUUCUAGAGUGAAGGGAGAGGAUUAAAGUGCUGCCCGGUGAGACCUGGAAGACCUGCUCUGCAUCCCAGGCUCACUCUUGACAUGCUGUGCGUUCCUUGAUAUCGAUGGAAGGGCUGUCCCAGCUAACAGGUAGGUAACAGGUAGCAGAGUUUGUGUUUCCACACUUUUUAUAACCCCUAACCACUGGCACCUAAAAGGAAUAAGCACUCAAGAGAAUGCUGUCCCCACUAGGACACAGGCUCUACAGUGCUCCUACCGCCAGCCCGCACUGGGGAUGGUGGCCUCUCCCCCUUGGGAAAAUCUCAGUGUCUGUCCUGUCGACACAGGUGAGAGUGACUGUCCUUGUAGGACUGGGGUUGGGGUGUUGGAGACAGAGUCUCAUUCCGUCACAGGUCCCCCCAACAACACCGCAGGAAAAUCUUUAAAACCUGUGACUGACCAUACCUUUGGUUUCAAUUCAACCAUCUUCCUUCAGGAUUUUGUUUGUUUGUUUGUUUGAUACAGAGUCUCUGUCACCAAGGUUGGAGUGCAGUGGCAUGAUCUCAGCUCACUGCAGCCUCCACUGGUCUUGAAAUCCUGACCUCAAGUGAUCCACCUGCCUUGGCCUCCCAAAGUGCUGGGAUUACAGGCGUGAGCCACCGUGCCCAGCCCUUCAGGACAUUUCUGCAGCCUGUGUAAGCUCACCACCGCUGGGAACAGAGCUUGCUGUGUCCUUGUUUUCCCUUAUGAAGGGCCUUCUUGGAUUUCACUCAGACUAGAAGACUAGGGGGAAACUAUCCCUCUUCCCAAAAGGUAGACAUUUUUUACCUGGACAAUGACUUAGUGUAAUUUUUUUUUUUUUUUUUUUUUUU
rnacentral:lncRNA from 10 species